rnacentral:rRNA from 1 species
CUACGGGCGGCACCAGUGGGGAAUAUUGGACAAUGGGGAAAACCCUGAUCCAGCAAUGCCGCGUGUGUGAAGAAGGCCUGCGGGUUGUAAAGCACUUUCGGUUGGGAGGACUGCUUCUAGCACUAAUAUUGUUGGAAGUUGACGUUACCUUCAGAAGAAGCACCGGCUAACUCCGUGCCAGCAGCCGCGGUAAUACGGAGGGUGCAAGCGUGAAUCGGAAUUACUGGGCGUAAAGCGCGCGUAGGCGGCUAGAUCAGUCGGGUGUGAAAGCCCCGGGCUUAACCUGGGAACUGCAUCCGAUACUGUCGAGCUUGAGUACAGGAGAGGAGAGUGGAAUUCCACAUGUAGCGGUGAAAUGCGUAGAUAUGUGGAGGAACACCAAUGGCGAAGGCAGCUCUCUGGCCUGAUACUGACGCUGAGGUGCGAAAGCGUGGGGAGCAAACAGGAUUAGAUACCCUCGUAGUC